GAUGAACGCUGGCGGCGUGCUUAACACAUGCAAGUCGAACGAAGCACUUUAACCUGAUUCUUCGGAUGAAGGUUUUUGUGACUGAGUGGCGGACGGGUGUGUAACGCGUGGGUAACCUGCCUCAUACAGGGGGAUAACAGUUAGAAAUGACUGCUAAUACCGCAUAAGACCACAGAGCCGCAUGGCUCGGUGGGAAAAACUCCGGUGGUAUGAGAUGGACCCGCGUCUGAUUAGGUAGUUGGUGGGGUAACGGCCUACCAAGCCAACGAUCAGUAGCCGACCUGAGAGGGUGACCGGCCACAUUGGGACUGAGACACGGCCCAAACUCCUACGGGAGGCAGCAGUGGGGAAUAUUGCACAAUGGGGGAAACCCUGAUGCAGCGACGCCGCGUGAGCGAAGAAGUAUUUCGGUAUGUAAAGCUCUAUCAGCAGGGAAGAAAAUGACGGUACCUGACGAAGAAGCACCGGCUAAAUACGUG
rnacentral:rRNA from 1 species